rnacentral:snRNA from 1 species
AAAUGUGAGGGUGCUUUGCCCGAAAAUUCUGUCACCCGGUGAUAGCCAGGCUUGAUUCUGUUCAUCUGGCUGGGGGGUGUCGACUUUCCCCCUCACCAUUCCAUGUGUGUCCCUCCUGAAGCUAUGCAGGUCGAAGAAGACAGGCACCCUCAAUAGAUGAUACCAUUUCCUUGGUAAAGGAUGUAGAAAAAUAUGUUACUUGACACCAUUCACAUGAACUGUCCCAUCCAUGCACAGACCUUUAAAGU